UACAGAGGUCUCAAGCGUUGUUCGGAUUCAUUGGGCGUAAAGGGCGCGUAGGCUGCGGGGCAAGUCGGGUGUGAAAUCUCAGAGCUCAACUCUGAAACUGCACUCGAUACUGCUUUGCUUGAGGACUGGAGAGGAGAUUGGAAUUCACGGUGUAGCAGUGAAAUGCGUAGAUAUCGUGAGGAAGACCAGUGGCGAAGGCGGAUCUCUGGGGACGGUACUGACGCUGAGACGCGAAAGCGUGGGGAGCGAACAGG
rnacentral:rRNA from 1 species